rnacentral:rRNA from 1 species
UACGUAGGGGGCAAGCGUUAUCCGGAUUUACUGGGUGUAAAGGGGGCGCAGACGGCGAUGCAAGCCAGGAGUGAAAGCCCGGGGCCCAACCCCGGGACUGCUCUUGGAACUGCGUGGCUGGAGUGCAGGAGGGGCAGGCGGAAUUCCUGGUGUAGCGGUGAAAUGCGUAGAUAUCAGGAGGAACACCGGUGGCGAAGACGGCCUGCUGGACUGCAACUGACGUUGAGGCCCGAAAGCGUGGGGAGCAAACAGG